GAAAAAUGUGACAAAGGACUACGGAUAUUCUUCAGAUAUUCUUAUCAGAAGUCCCGCCCUCUCUUUCGAAUCUCGACGCUAAACCAAUAACAGUCCCGCCCUCUCUUUGACCACUCAAUCAUUAAUGUCAUGUAUGGGAAUUGCAUGAAUCAUUGCAUGGUUCGUCCGUGAAGAAAAGCACCCGUAUGUUUCAUAGAAUUUCACAAUACCUCGUCAUAGUCAAUCAAAGUAUUAAGAAGCCAAUACUCUAUUAGUUCUGUGCAAUCGACAAGGAAAUGAUCUAAAUAUCCUACGUCCAGGACCACCUUUUCUUAUAGAUUAAUGCUGUAAAAGUGGCAAAAAUUAAACACCUUGUUUUAAUACAAUUCCUUAUUGGUUCAAAGUCUUUCUAAUAUCUGGCUAGUUUUAAACAAAGUGAAAAAAUACGAACAACAUCUCAAUUCAAGUUUAUGUGUAGCCUACAUAAAACAUUGAAAAAUAGCUUUUCCCAAAAAUAAUCAAAGAAAAGACCUAGAUCCGCAAUAUCUUUAUUUUUUUCUGAUGAACAUUAUCUCAAGUAUAAGGCAAAUCCAUAGACAUAGUGUAGAUAGAUCAGCACAUUUAGCUCUUUUCAUCAGCACAGAGUCAACCAGGCCUAUAAUUUAGCCGCUGAGAACUUGAUGAGCAAGCAGUUCGAGUGAUUAGGGGAGAAUGGGGAGAAUCAGCGUUUGGAGCUGCCCUUGAUCUAAAUGUCUCUCUCUCAGAUCGCCUCCCCCACCCUCCCCCACCCUCCCCAUCCACCACCACCACCACUCCUCCUGGAGCUAAAGAGAAUCCAGUGAGCCACGUUCUGCUAUCGUUAAUCCCAGCUUAGACCUGAGACCUCUGCUCACCUAAUGAGCCACCUAAUGCUCCCGCUGUGGUGGUGGUGACUUCAAGCAAGAACCAAUGUGAGCACCCGCCUGUCCUCUUCUUCUCAUUGUUGUUCACUCCUUACUGUUUCUUUCUUCUUUUUUUCCGAGCAACCAGGGUUAGGCUGUGGGCAUCUUUGCAAGGGAUUCCUUAAGAUCAAGCAGUGGACAUUGGGGAUCGAACCCAGAACUUUUGAACAGAGAGUUGAACACCUUAACAACUACUAUGCAAGCAGUCUACCUAUAGCAUAGCAUCCUUGAGCAAGAUGACCCUACCUGCCUAUUCAUGACAUCUAGCUCUUCCUGUCCAGCCGGCCCGUGGCCAGGUGGUGGCUGCAGAUCAGAUCCAGUGAAAAGCCUCUUAAAUACACUGGGGCAGAAGAUGAACGGCCGGCCCAAUCACUGCAUUCUCUCUAAACCCUGUCCGUCCCAGAAUAUACAGAGGCACUAGCCUCCUAAAUUUGUCAUUUUUUACACUACCUCAGUUUUGGUCCGAUAUGAGUUGAUCUGGUCCUAAUCAAAUCUAAAUUGUACAAUUUGAUUUGAUGAUGAGUGGGUAAUUGCUGGGUAAUUGCUGCAGUUGCUUUGGCACUAACUGUGUUGCUAUUAGUUUGAAUGUUAUGUCCCACCCACUUGGAUUUACUGUUUAGCAUGUAGACUUGUUUGUUGUAGAAGAAAAAUGUUUUUUUAGUGGUUUCCCUGUUCAUUAUUGACAAGGUGUUGGUGGGUAUUAUUGAGAUUGGAAGUAUAGUUUACAUAAUUGAAGUGAUUGUUGUCUUUAGAUUAUUUUACACUAAGGUGCAGACAGUAGGGCAGGCCUAUAUCUUAAAUUAGGCUAUUAUCAUUAAGCGUAUGAUGAUAAACUUGGAACAAAAAAAUAACUCUGUGAAAUUAACAACAUUACUAACAAGUAAGCCUACUUUUAAAAGACAAAUCGGAGUAAUAACGAUGUUGUCGACUAUAACGACAGAUAAAGAGGCAAGCAGACGUGUUCUUGAGAAGGGAAGCCAAUUCCAUGUGGAGUGGCCCUGGCAGCGUGCGCCCUCUUCUCCAGAUGCGUUCCGCUCGCUCAUCAGAACGACGGCAGGAACAUUCUGGUCACGAGCCUCUCUUGACAUUGGUGUACUCCAAUCAGCGGCGUCCGUAGCCCUAGAAUCACAUGGCGUUGCUGUGGUAACCCCGAGACACACACACACACACACACACACACACACACACACACACACACACACACACACACACACACACACACACACACACACACACACACACACACACACACACACACACACACUCUCUGUCUCUGU